GAUGAACGCUGGCGGCGUGCCUAAUACAUGCCAGUCGAGCGAACGGACGAGAAGCUUGCUCCCCUGAUGUUAGCGGCGGACGGGUGAGUAACACGUGGAUAACCUACCUAUAAGACUGGGAUAACUUCGGGAAACCGGAGCUAAUACCGGAUAAUAUUUUGAACCGCAUGGUUCACAAGUGAAAGACGGUCUUGCUGUCACUUAUAGAUGGAUCCGCGCUGCAUUAGCUAGUUGGUAAGGUAACGGCUUACCAAGGCAACGAGGCAUAGCCGACCUGAGAGGGUGAUCGGCCACCCUGGAACUGAGACACGGUCCAGACUCCUACGGGAGGCAGCAGUAGGGAAUCUUCCGCAAUGGGCGAAAGCCUGACGGAGCAACGCCGCGUGAGUGAUGAAGGUCUUCGGAUCGUAAAGCUCUGUUAUUAGGGAAGAACAUAUGUGUAAGUAACUGUGCACAUCUUGACGGUACCUAAUCAGAAAGCCACGGCUAACUACGUG
rnacentral:rRNA from 1 species